rnacentral:tRNA from 1 species
AGGGCGAUAGCUCAAUUGGUAGAGCGGCGGUCUCCAAAACCGCAGGUUGGGGGUUCGAGACCCUCUCGCCCUGCCA